AGGUGAGUAAGUCCUUCUGAAAGAAUGAGGCCCGUGGAUACGGGGUGGGAUGAGUAAGAAAGGGUUCACCU
rnacentral:ncRNA from 1 species